GACGUAGGGUGCGAGCGUUGUCCGGAAUUAUUGGGCGUAAAGAGCUCGUAGGCGGUUUGUCGCGUCUGCUGUGAAAACUCGGGGCUUAACCCCGGGCCUGCAGUGGGUACGGGCAGACUAGAGUGCGGUAGGGGAGACUGGAAUUCCUGGUGUAGCGGUGAAAUGCGCAGAUAUCAGGAGGAACACCGGUGGCGAAGGCGGGUCUCUGGGCCGUAACUGACGCUGAGGAGCGAAAGCAUGGGGAGCGAACAGG
rnacentral:rRNA from 1 species